rnacentral:rRNA from 1 species
AGCUCAGUCUCGAGAGAGAGCUAGAAUUUCAGCGUAGCGUGAAAUGCGUAAGCAUCUGAAGUAUCCUGUGGAAGCGCUCUGACGAGACUGACGCUCAGUGCGAAGCGUGGGAGCAACAGGAUAGAUACCUGGUAGUCACGCCGUAACGAUGUCGACUUGAGGUGUGCCCUUGAGGCGUGGCUUCCGGAGCUAACGCGUUAAGUCGACCGCCUGGGGAGUACGGCCGCAAGGUUAAAACUCAAAUGAAUUGACGGGGGCCCGCACAAGCGGUGGAGCAUGUGGUUUAAUUCGAUGCAACGCGAAGAACCUUACCUGGUCUUGACAUCCACAGAACUUUCCAGAGAUGGAUUGGUGCCUUCGGGAACUGUGAGACAGGUGCUGCAUGGCCGUCGUCAGCUCGUGUUGUGAAAUGUUGGGUUAAGUCCCGCAACGAGCGCAACCCUUAUCCUUUGUUGCCAGCGGUCCGGCCGGGAACUCAAAGGAGACUGCCAGUGAUAAACUGGAGGAAGGUGGGGAUGACGUCAAGUCAUCAUGGCCCUCACGACCAGGGCUACACACGUGCUACAAUGGCGCAUACAAAGAGAAGCGACCUCGCGAGAGCAAGCGGACCUCAUAAAGUGCGUCGUAGUCCGGAUUGGAGUCUGCAACUCGACUCCAUGAAGUCGGAAUCGCUAGUAAUCGUGGAUCAGAAUGCCACGGUGAAUACGUUCCCGGGCCUUGUACACACCGCCCGUCACACCAUGGGAGUGGGUUGCAAAAGAAGUAGGUAGCUUAACCUUCGGGAGGGCGCUUACCACUUUGUGAUUCAUGACUGGGGUGAAGUCGUAACAAGGUAACCAAGGCGAAUUCGCGGCCCAUAAUCAGACGCAUCAUACCCG